UUUACCCCUUUCCAGAGCCGGGCGGGAGGGGGUCCCUGAGGGUGGGGGCACCCUCAGGGCACUAUAGUGCCAGGAAAACGAGCGUUUUCCUGGCACUAUAGUGGUCCUUUAAAGGACCACUACAGACACCCAGAUCACUUCAGCUCAAUGAAGUUGUCUGGGUGUCAUGUCCCUCUAGUUUUAACCCUGCAGCUGAAAACAUAGCAGUUUCAGAGAAACUGCUAUGUUUCACUGAGGGUUAAUCCAGCCUCUAGUGGCUGUCUCACUG